rnacentral:lncRNA from 1 species
CACGAAGAUGACAGCAUUGUGCAAUCUUCUUCGAUCACUAUAAAUAGGCCGAAAACUGUCGAAGAGGUGUCGUUAUUGAUAUAAUAACAGAAACAAUCUAAGAUGAAGCAAGUAUUCCUUCUCCUUCUUUUGGUUGCUGUAUGUUCAGCCCAAGUUUACUACAGCUAUGGGAUAAAUACGCAUCACGUACCUAAACAUCACGGUCUUGUCUAUGGAGUCGGCCUUCACGGAAUCCAUCAUCCUCUCGCUUGGCAUCAUUACGCAUCACCUCUCCUCCAUCAUCCCAUUCUUCUAGCUGAAAAAGAAAAGGAGAAAGAAAAGGCAGAAGAGAAGAAAGAAUAAACGGAAAUGGCAAAAAAUAUUUGAUCUGUAGAAUAAAAGCGCUUUUAUUAACAAUUCUCUUGUUUUUCAAUAAAAUUCUUAUUUUUUUUUUCCCUGCUCAACCAACUAGUUGGGC